GGAGGGGUGUCCGAGCGGCUGAAGGAGGCGGUCUUGAAAACCGUAGAGGGUAAAAACCUCCGUGGGUUCGAAUCCCACCCCCUCCGCCA
rnacentral:tRNA from 1 species